rnacentral:lncRNA from 1 species
UGUGGGUCACGACCAAGAAGCAGGAAGGAGAAGAAACCCUUCUCCUUCAUAAUACCUCAAGAAAUUCAAGGAUUUAAGGUGUUGUUGAUCCAGAAAUCGAAUGCAUGUGACCAAAUUCUCAACCAUCUAAGGGUUUCCUAUAUAGGGUCGGUUCGGGUUAGAAUGAGAAUGAACAAGUGAAGUUUUCUUAAUGUUCCAUGUAAACUGGUUAUGAUAGAAUGAGUUGGAGAGAAAGAUGUAACGAAGUUGGUUACAUAAACAAGAAAGUCGAGUAUAAGAAUGACUUAGUCAUGUAUGGUUCAAAAUUUAAAUGGUGAUUACUGGUUCACCAAGUUCAUUAAUGCGUUAGUAAAUCUCAAGUUUAAAUUCUAUCGCAUAGCUCGGAACCGAACACACCUUGAACGCCUUUAAG